CACUGCUGCUCUGAUGGUGAACUCCCCAUUUCCAGAGAGUGUGGCCGUGCAGUGAUCUUGUGAAACACUCGCUGGCCCAAGCCUCAAGUGUCUGGGCUCAACAGGCAAUCUGUGGCCAAAGAAACGAGCUUUUAUCACAACCUCAACGCUAUCCCUGUGACAUUUCACCACAACUGUCCUCUUAUGUUCUCCGGCAGUGCGGUUUCCAUUGGGAUCGUCAAAGACGUGGCGCUCACAGAGGAAGUCCUCCAGCCUCUGGUCCUGAUGAUGGAAGUACCAGUCCUCCACCACCUCCUCGUACUGCUCCAGCAUCGUCUCACACUGCACACACAGAGGGCUCGUCCCACAGCUCGAAUGGCAGGCCCAGCUCCACCUUAACGCCUUUGUCAACCAGGUUCUUCAGAGUGGUCAUCGUCUGACUGGCACCCUGCAAGGCGCACAAACCAGCUGUCAACUUCUCUUCUCCUCUCAAAAAUUUAAAUAAAAAA